CACAGUACAGUUCUGUACAGCUGAAGCUCAGCAAAAGAGAGAUGUUUUCACUCACAGACAUAGGACCCUCUCCUUUCUUCUGACUUCGCUUAAGGAAGGCAGGGAAUGAGAUGAAGGGACAGCAAGGUAGGAAGGAACCAGUUGUUUUAUUCUGAAAUGGCAUGUACCUGCAAAAAAAUAUCCUACCCAGUCCCCCCUCCCAAGAUGCUCCAGAACAAGGGUGACAACUGGAAUAAAAUACAGUGGUACCUCGGGUUAAGUACUUAAUUCAUUCCGGAGGUCCGUUCUUAACCUGAAACUGUUCUUAACCUGAAGCACCACUUUAGCUAAUGGGGCCUCCCACUGCUGCCAUGCCGCUGGAGCACGAUUUCUGUUCUCAUCCUGAAGCAAAGUUCUUAACCUGAAGCACUAUUUUUGGGUUAGCGGAGUCUGUAACCUGAAGCGUAUGUAACCGAGGUACCACUGUAUGGGGGGGUGGUGGAUUGCCCCACAUAAUCAAUCACAAGAUGCAACAUUCAGGCAUGCACCAUUUGAAUGGUAAUGAACAUCAACUUUGGGGAGGGGGGCCUUGUCCCCUCAAAUAUUUUAUGGGGGGCAAAGGGACCUCAGCUCCUGGGAGUUGACUCCUAUGCUCCAAUAUCACGUGUAGCCAAAUAGUCCUGAAAAUUAUAGGCCUAUAAACCUUUGUUUGACCAAAGCAAUGUGACUGUCUCUUUACUGACAAACAGUUUGGGGAUUGCUAUUUAAAUACAGCUAGCAGUUCAUUAUCAUUUGUGUCUCUCUGCUGAGCUUUUACCCUUUUGUAAAUCCACUUACAUCCUGGAUUGAGACAUUCCCAAACCUGCCAGGUCACCGCUGCUUAUCUUUCCCAUGACACCCUGUCUUCUAAUCUUCCUGGGGCCAUGUCAGUACAUUUCCACAUAAAGCAAUUAUUCCAACUGAAUGGAGAUCUUCCUCCCCCUUUCUCCCACAAUGUUUUUUUUUGGGGGGGUGGGGGUGGGAUGCUGUGUGUGAGGUGAUGAAACUAUUAGCAAGGUUUAAACACAGACAAGUAUGAGAGAUGCGUGGCGAUUUUCUCAUGCAGAAUAGAAUCCGGGACCACGGACUGAAUGUUAAAUGGACCAUACCCUAAACAUAAAAACAGCCCAAACAUGCCUGCUUGAUUUAUACCAAUGCUUAUUUUCUCUGUCUGGUCAAAGGUUUAGGCACUUCAAAUAGUUCCCAGGGCAACAUGACUGCCACAGACUUUAAAGAAGCUUCAAGGCCUAAAAUUGAAUUACAGUACGCUUAGCUUGCGGUUGCUAGGGAGACUCACAAGACGGAGAGAAAGUUCCUGGCAAUUCUUUGCUAGGUGAAAUUAAAGCUUUAUGGAAACUUUGCUGGGACAAAACUCCACCCAUGGCCAUCAGGUCCGAGAGAACAAACUUGUAUGAAGCAGAUUUGACAGAGAAGUAUGAUGAAGCCAGGUGUUUUGAACGUGUUUCAUUUGAUGGCAGACCUUAGGUAAAGGUAAAGGGACCCCUGACUGUUAGGUCCAGUCGUGGCCAACUCUGGGGUUGUGGCGCUCAUCUCACUUUAUUGGCCGAGGGAGCCGGCAUACAGCUUCCGGGUCAUGUGGCCAGCAUGACUAAGCCGCUUCCGGCAAACCAGAGCAGCUCACGGAAACACCGUUUACCUUCCCGCCGGAGCGGUACCUAUUUAUCUACUUGCACUUUGACGUGCUUUCGAACUGCUAGGUUGGCAGGAGCGGGGACCGAGCAACGGGAGCUCACCCCGUUGCGGGGAUUCAAACUGCCGACCUUCCGAUCGGCAAGUCCUAGGCUCUGUGGUUUAACCCACAGUGCCAUCUGCGUCCGCCGAUGGCAGACCUUAAGACAUCUCUAUUUUCAUCGGAGAACUGCUGGAGGGGAUGCAGCACGGUGAUUGGAAAAGGCUGGGUCUGGUGAGAUCUGUCUGGUCCUCCUCCAGCUCCUCGAGAGCCAGUGUGGUGUCGUGGUUAAGAGCGGUGGACUCGUAAUCUGGUGAACUGGGUUUGCUUCCCUGCUCCUCCACAUGCAGCUGCUGGGUGGCCUUGGGCUAGUCACACUUCUCUGAAGUCUCUCAGCCCCACUCACCUCACAGAGUGUUUGUUGUGGGGGAGGAAGGGAAAGGAGAAUGUUAGCCGCUUUGAGACUCCUUCGGGUAGUGAUAAAGCGGGAUAUCAAAUCCAAACUCUUCUUCUUCCUCCUCCUCCCUUUCUGCCCUGCCCCUCUCUCCAUCCUGGUUUUGGUGCCGUUCAUGAGGCGACAUGAAGCUGUUCACCUCAGGCGGCAGAUCCAACCCCCAAGCCACCCCUGCUCUGCUGCCAGGAUCACUGCGGCUUUCCCUGGGCUGCCAACACAGCCUUGUUGUCCUCACCAUGUUGCAGCGUGCAGCGGCAAGGGUGCAGCGGGCACAGCUGCAGCCAAGGUGGCAGGGGCAGGGCACGGAUCUGCCGUGGGUUUUCACAACGGGUGCAUCAUAGGGGCAGAGCAGCCCAUCCCUGGGUGCUGCAGUUAAUAAUUGCAACGGUUUGGAGAGUGUCUGCCUUUCUGAGAGACUUUCAAGCUACUCGUGAGCACAAAUUGGUUGGGGACGACUCAACCCACUCUGUAGUGAUUUGCAGCUGCUUCACCCAGAUUCAGACAGGUUCAGGAUUCAGCCAGAUCUGGUACACAGCAAUCAUAGAAACAACAACAACAACAACAACAACAACAACAACAACAACAACAACAACAACAUAUUUCUACUUCACCCAUCUGACUGGGUUUCCCCAGCCACUCUGGGCGGCUUCCAGCAAAAGAUUAGAAAUACAUUAAAACUUCAAACAUUAAAAACUUCCCUAAAGAGGGCUGCCUUCAGAUGUCUUCUAAAUGUCAUAUAGUUGUUUAUUUCCUUGACAUCUGGUGGGAGGGCGUUCCACAGGGAGGGCGCCACCACUGAGAAGGCCCUCUGCCUGGUUCCCUGUAAACUUCACUUCUCAGAAGGAGGGAGCUGCCAGAAGGCCCUCGGAGCUGGACCUCACUGUCUGGGCUGAACGAUGGGGGUGGAGAUGCUCCUUCAGAUAUACUGGACCAAGGCCGUUUAGGACUUUAAAGGUCAGCACCAACGCUUUGAAUUGUGCUCGAAAACGUACUGGGAGCCAAUGUUAAUCAUGUCCCCUGCCUGGUAAACUAUCCCAUCUGAUUGUUUUUAUAGGGGGCAAAUAUCAGAUCAGACCAUCAAAUAUCCACCAAACCAUAACAAUUUCCACUGUACUACAUUGGAACAGUAUAUGUUGGUUCUGAAAUGAUGAACCACCUUAGUAACAAAAGAGAAAAAAAUCAUUAUUUUUUGGCUUCAGGAAUAAAUAAUCUUGUGGUUCUUGACUUUUUAUCAGCUUGCAAACAUGGGGUGGGUGGGUGGGAAUACCAUACAAAAAAGCUCAGGACAAACUCUCUAUUACCUGCUCCUACAUCAACCCCAAAUCGCCCAUCAUUUCCCUAUCAUUAGGUGACUGUAAGGUGAUGACAGGUGGAUCCAAUAAAAGCAGAACUGAUGAAAACAAAUUAUUAGUCUUCCUUCUCACUGUGCUUUCAUCUGCUCCUUUAAUCUCUUUUAUGGGAGAAUCACAUUUUGGUUUGUAGACACUCAUGAACUUCUCAGCCUUCCUUCCCUGAGAUGCUAUUGAGAGAAAGCAUCUUCUGCAUAUUUAAACAACAGUUGGACAUCCCCCUUUAAAUCCAUCUCAACGAAAAGAAAAGAACUCACUCUGAAACUCACCUACAGGUGGUACCUAACAUCAAGAAAACUAGCGCUAAUACGCCCAGGAACCUCACCAAAAUGCUGGAGAGGGUGCACCUCCACAGGCACAUACCUCCACAUGUGGUGGGAGUGCCCCAAAAUCCAACUAUUCUGGACAACAACCAUACAAGAAUUAAGUAAAAUAACCAAGCAAGUAUUAGAAAUCACCCCAGAAUUGGCCCUAUUAAACAUCUUCCAAGACAACAAUGCCCAUUUACACCACAAAGAACUCAUAACCCACCUACUUUCAGCAGCCAGAAACACCAUAACCAGACACUGGAGAGAUCUGUCAGGAAUAAGUAUGGACCAAUGGUAUCAAAUAGUUUGGGGAACAGCCCUACUAGAAAAAUUAACCAAUAAACUGAAACUGACACAGGGACAAACAGAAGACGAUGCUUUUACCCCGGUAUGGCUCCCCUUUAUUACAUACACAGCCCAACAAGACAAUGACAAUAAUCCACCAACAGCAUACAAAUCAAUAUGGCUAACCUGAUCCAAAACACCCACCCACCUCACUCACACACGAAAACAAAGAACACCAUAGCCAAUCACAAACAAACAACCACACCCUAGGCCAACCCCAACCUCUCUCACCAUCAAAGAAACACAAAUGAACAGCAGAGAACCUGCACGAGCAACGCUGACACCAAACCCUACAUACAUUAAACAAAAUAGAAACAUCACCACCUGACCCCACCCCCACCCAUCUUUCCCCCCUCCACCCCUUGUUUUCCCCUAAUGUCUCAACAAAUGAAACUGAUUUGUAAAAAUGUUACAUGGAAAAAAUACGAGAGACAUUACACAUACUUCUGUAAAACAAGAAAAUCUUUAAUAAUAAUAAUAAUAAUAAUAAUAAAUAUAAAAAAACCCAGCUGGAAAUGGAUUUAUUUUUCCAGGCCUUUGGAACCUGAUAGUGCUCACAGGGAAUGGACUUCAGGCAGUGUUGAUGUUUUUACAAUGGAUGCAAUAUAAAAUUUAUAUUAUAUUUACCAUUUAUAUUUCAUUGUUACAUUGUCAGCUACCUUGUGCUCUGAUCUGGAGGGCCAUUGGGCAGUGUUCUGUGGAGGUGUUUAGAGCAGUCUGAACAGCGUUUCUAUGGGAUCAACUCCAAUCGCUGCGGCCUGAGGAGGUGGACAGGACACUUGCAGGAACCCUCUCAGUCCCAGGACAUCUUGAAUUGUUCAGUUGGUUGGUUGGUUGGGUCCAGGGUGUGGGAGAUGCCUCAUUGCAGUAGCAAACAAUGCCCACCAUUUUGAAAGAAGCAGCGGUGUCGUCAGGCGUCAGUGGCUCCAACCCCAACGGUAGGUUGCCAGGAACGGAUAAGACAAGGGAAAGUUCUUGCCAACUGCCUUUUAUUCAGUAUUCACAGAGAGAGGCUCAGAAAUGCAUCCUCUUGGAAUAAUGGCGUUGAUCUGAGUCAAUCUCCACCCACUGCUCUCCCACUUUCUCAUUUGUCAACACCACCCACCCCCUUUAUGCUUGCCGCUUAGGGCCCUCUGUCUUUGAGCUCUUUGCUCUCCUACUUUCAAGGCUUGCCAGGUUCUGGGAGAUGGUGGUUCUGGAAUGCUUUCCAGCAGUAACAUGUCAGCCAGCUGUUCCUGCUCUGCCUCCUCCUCCUCUCCCAUUAUUUCCCAACUUUCCCCCUCAUCUGCCUCUGAGCUGUGACCUCCCUCAAACCCCUGUGGUAAUUCAGAACUUCUCUGAAAGUUCUUUGCCCAGGUGUCCACCUCCAUGGAUCCUGAAGUUUCAAACAACCGCUGCCCAGCUGGGAAUAUCCCUUUCUUGUGCAAGAUGGCAGAGAGGGUGGUUAGUUGCGUGUCGAGGCCUCCCAGGACACCCCAAAUAAAGACACAGUUCACACAACAUUUUUGUUUUGGUUUUUGGCAUAAUUUUGGCCACAACUGUAUUGAAUUACAGUAUGUGAGUGGUUGCUUAGGCAUUGGUUAGCGACUAUCUGUUCCCACACAGAGGUAGAAACAGAACUGACAACCGCAAGCCUGCGGAAGUCAGUAAGGGUAAACAUUUUUGGGGAGAGAAUAGAGCUGGGCGCCAGGCUCUCACCUCUCCCCAAGUGCUCCCAGGGGCUCUUGCGUGGCCCUAGCCCCUUGACAGGGGUUCGGACAAGAGCAUGGCGAGCCCCUGGGUUCCUUUAACGGAAUACCCUUGCAGCAGCAGCAUUGGAGGGGCAGGCACAGCCAACCACAUCCCCUCCACCAAACAAAACUAACCAAUGCCGAACCGCAACCUUACAAGUUGUGACGAUUUGCUUCGCAGUAGGCAAAAACCAAAUGGCACCGGUCAAUCAGCCAAAUCGUAAGAAUUCCUACCAGGCCCCUGCCCCAAAAUCAGGCGACCCCAUGACAGGCAUAGCCCCUGCCCCAAAAUCAGGCGACCCCAUGACAGGCAUAGCAAGGUCAGCACGAACAAACCCUAAAUAUAGGGAGGGUGGGCGGGUAAUCCGAUGUGCGCAGCGAAAAGAGGAAGCUCAACGCUGCUCACAGGGAAUAAAUGGCACCCCCAUCAAUCAAGUAAUUUUGCAACAUUAAAUUUUCCCCAGCAACAAUUGGAGGUGCCCUAUCAAAUUUGUGGCCAUUCAUACUCACCUGCCCAGCAACAGGGGAUGUCAUGGUUGCCCCCACUGCAACAUGUGCUCUCCAUGAAGGAGAACGCGCUCUGGCCAACUGCAGACAUUCCUAGAUGAAGUGGAUUAUCUAGACUCAUUUCAGUCUGGCUUCAGACUUGGGUUUAGUACUGAAACUGCUUGGGUAACUUUGAUUGGUGACCUUUAUUGGGAGAGAAGAGGACUGGUAUCCUAUGGGUUCUCCUUGACGUUGCACCAGUGACCAGUACCAUUGACCCAUACCUAGUGGUCUGUGCUUUGAGAUUGGUGGGAAAUAAUAUUUUUAUUAUUUAUAUCCCAUUUUCCAUCCCAAAGGAGUCCAGAGCAGCAGUUCAGGGCUGCCUGCUGCACCACCCAUACUGAUAAUACGCAGCAAAAAGUUCCCAUCUUUAAUGCAUUACAGGAGUGCCAACUUGGACUCGCAACCGUUGGUGCCCGGGGCUGUAGGUGCCAUGCAGCUUGCAUGGCCCUGGCACCAACAUUUGUGGGUGCCUAACUGGGCCAUAAAGAAGGCUGAUCACCGAAGAAUUGAUGUUUUUGAAUUAUGGUGCUGGAGGAGACUCUUGAGAGUCCCAUGGACUGCAAGAAGAUCCAACCUCUCCAUUCUGAAGGAAAUCAGCCCUGAGUGCUCACUGGAAGGACAGAUCCUGAAGCUGAGACUCCAAUACUUUGGCCACCUCAUGAGAAGAGAAGACUCCUUGGAAAAGACCCUGCUGUUGGAAAAGAUGGAGGGCACAAGGAGAAGGGGACGACAGAGGACGAGAUGGUUGGACAGUGUUCUCGAAGCUACCAGCAUGAGUUUGACUAAACUGUGGGAGGCAGUGGAAGACAGGAGUGCCUGGCGUGCUCUGGUCCAGGGGGUCACAAAGAGGCAGACAUGACUAAACAACUAAACAACAACAACAAACCCCUUCAUGGGGAAUUUUAUAGGUGUUCAGGCACCCAGGGCCCUGGGUGUUGGCACCUAUGACCCAUUAGGAUUGCUCUCAGUCAGUGGAGAAAGCAUUGACCUCAUCUUAGCCAUCACGAAAAGUCAGGUGUUGAAGCUGCAGAUUUAUGACACUGAAUUAUAUAGACUUACAGCAUCAACAGUGCCAACAACGAAACAGGCGUAAUUCAAAAAACAUCAGUCAGCUUGCCAAACGAUAUCUGAACUUUGCAGGGUAUAAUUUUUAAAAACAGAGCUGGUGAGCUAGUACGAAAUUACAACCCUCGAGGAACCAGCAACACCCACUGGACUUAUUGCACAAUAUAUUGAAAUUAAGUGUAAUUGGAAAAAGAUGGGUGUGAGGGUUGCUGCAGAAAAUCUUAGUGUGUGUAGCGGGGGGAGGGACAUAUAAGAACCCAUUUCCUUUAAUAAUAAUGUUAUGAUAAGGUUGGUUUUUUUAGGCAAGUGAAACCUUUAUUUUCAUUCAAUGGUCUAUUGCUUUUGGGCAGGAAUGCCUGGGGUGCUCAUCUUAUGGGCAAAGGCUGGCUCGGAGUUGUAUAAUUUCAGCUUUAUUACCUCCACUGAAUAGGUUCUGGGCAAUCCAAAAAUAACUUGAAGGAUUUGGUCGUAAGCAUCCACUUUGGGAAAUAGUUGUCUUCAGAUUUCAGGGAAGGGUGGGAGGGAUUUUGCAAUCCUGCCUGAGUGCCUGAAAUGGUCUCCCCCCUCCACUCCUUCAAGGGAAGCUCAGGCUGCACUUCUGAGUACACUCAGCAUAUUGAGAGAGGAGGGAGAAGGAGAGGUCAGGUCGGGGUGGCAGAGGGGGCAAGUGGUGGCAGACCCGCACCGUGCUGGACUGGCGGGUGGGGGGCAGUUGAGGAGGGAAUAAUAAUAAUAAUAAUAAUAAUAAUAAUAAUAAUUUAUACCCCGCCCAUCUGGCUGGGCUUCCCCAGCCACUCUGGGCGGCUUCCAACAAAUUAUUAAAAUACAACAGUCUACUAAAUAUUAAAAGCUUCCCUAAACAGGGCUGCCUUCAGAUGUCUUCUAAAAGUCUGGUAGUUGUUGUUCUCUUUGACAUCUGGUGGAAGGGCGUUCCACAGGGUGGGCGCCACUACCGAGAAGGCCCUCUGCCUGGUUCCCUGUAACUUGGCUUCUCGCAGCGAGGGAAUCGCCAGAAGGCCCUUGGCGCUGGACCUCAGUGUCCGGACUGAACGAUGGGGGUGGAGACGCUUCUUCAGGUAUACAGGACUGAGGCCGUUUAGGGCUUUAAAGGUCAGCACCAACACUGCAAGAGGGAAGGAAGGGAGUGACUAUUGUCAUUCACGCCCGGCCAGGCUCCUUGUCUGCCUGUUCAAGCAGGACAGAGGACACUUUUGUGCAAAAAACAGGACGACCCCAUUUUUUCUAGUCUAAUAAAUUUUUAUUAAUUUUCAUUUACAACAAUCCAAUAAAAGCCACAUCGAUACGAUACCAAAUCAUAAAAGAGCCAAUUUAUUCAAUAACACAUUAUACAAUUUUGUUUGGCUUCCCAUGCCCUGGUUUUCGGGGGUUGAUAUUCUUACUUCGCCCUGCUCCAAAACUCUUAGUUAGUCCAAAUGCAUCCGUUCCGACACAUCUGUUAACAGCCACUGAUCUGGUGACUUUCAUUCGUAUUUAAAUAUUCCAUGUCCAUUCAUUUUGCAAGGGGGUUUUCAUCCUGUGGAUUUCUGUAUGAAAUGUUUGUUUUACAUUCAUCUUUUCAUUUUUCUGUUGUAAUCCAAUGUCUUCAAGCAUUUCCCUUAACUUUUGCUUUCUCAGGGGACUGAAAUUCUCACUGCGACACACACACCAUUCGCCAUUUUGCUUAUCCAAGGCAAUUAGAGAUGUGGCGUUUCACCAGCAUCCCAGGCAGAUAUCCAGCUUCUUUCAUCUGUCAUCUGACAACUAACAAGCUGGUAUCCUUCCAAAGUCAUAAAAAAUAAGUGCUCCAUGUACCCCAUUUUUCGAGGGAUGGGUAGCAACCCUAUACAGGACACUGCACCCACAGCUACCCUGCUGUCUGUCGUUGUCCCUGGAGGAAACAGUAGUUUUAAUAUCGCCAGGCAUUUGAGCUGUCAAGAUGUAAACGCUUGCCUCUAAGGAACCCUGGUGGUCCUAGCAUAUGUUGCUUCCCAGUUAAACCAGUGAGUUUCCAGCAGCUUGCUUGUGCCUUCUGUGAAAGAGAAGCAAUAAAGAAACAAAACUAAGAUGUGAAUGUGGGUGGUAGCUAGCCAACAAGGAUGAUUUGAGAACAGGUCAUUAAUUUUUUUGUUUUCUUAAUAAAACUGUGCUGGACCCGGGGGGGGGGGUACCGAGAGGCGUGGUCUGAGUCCGGUCCUGGGUCGAGGAUCUGGAGACUGUCCACCAAGGGCAAAGCUGGGUCCAAAGCAAGAAGCUGGGCAUGGUCGGGAACUCCGGAAGAGCAGGUCUGGGUGCUGGCAGAAACAGGUUUCCAACGACAUUGCUCCCGCAACCUGGGACUGGGCUGACUGGCCUUUAUCUCCUCUGGGGCCUAGGGCAGUCCCGGCCCACAGGUGACUCGCCUCUCCUGGCCUUAAGGCGAGCACUUCUCCUGAGAGAACCCAGUUCCCUCCACCUCUCUGCCCUGAGCCUCUGCAGCUCAGGAGAGGCUGGAGGGUUACCGGACCCAGAGGCAGCCUCACCUUCCCCUGACAGGGCUGGGAGAGGAGCACCUGCAGGCAAUGGGUUUUCAAUCACCCCCGGAGCCAGAGUGGAUUCAUCUGGUGUCUACUCCUGAGAAUCCGGCACAGGUUCAAGCCCCUGCCCCGGCUCAGCCGGCCCUGGAGGCGGGGACUCCUGUGCAGGUUGGGAUUCCUCCGGUUCAGCCUCUGAAUCAGAUUCCCAGGCCAUCACACCAACGUUCAGUUUUCUCAAAUAUUCCCAAAGCUUUGGUUGUCACUAAGAGAGAGAGAGAGAGAGAGAGAGAGCAGUUUUCUCCCGUUUUCUACGAGUACCAAUGGGCAAGAUGCUGUCUUCAGUCACUUUCUUUACCUCUUCUCAUUGAGACGAGCCAAUUUAGCAAACAUCUUGCUGCCAAGGGGGUGGGGGGGUGGGAAUGCUUGCAUUUUGACAUAGCAUACUCAAGUCCAAUCCUGCACCUAUCUCCGCCAAGUAAAGCAAUGAGGGAAUCUGUGGGAUGUGAUACAUUAGUAGCAGUCAAGUACGACAUUCCUUGUUUUCCUAGAGUGGACAUGCGGGGGAAUGUAUGCUCCAGCCAGCCGAAAACUUCCUCUUUCCUCCUGGCUGAGACAUACUUCCUUUGCAUAUGACUAGAGGUGGGCAUGACCUUACCUGUCCAGGUAACGAAAGGGACAAGGCAUGCAGCACUCUCUCUCUCUCUCUGACUUCCUCCGUCGUUGGAGCAGCUUUUAGCUAGAAAUGCUUUCAGACAACAGAAGCCACUGGGAUUAUCCCCAUAUGGGCUAGAUCCACAUGUAUAUAGUAAAGGUAAAGGUACCCCAGACCAUUAGGUCCAGUCAUGACCGACUCUGGGGUUGCGGCGCUCAUCUCGCUUUAUUGGCCGAGGGAGCCGGCGUACAGCUUCCGGGUCAUGUGGCCAGCAUGACUAAGCCGCUUCUGAUGAUCCAGAGCAGCGCACGGAAACGCCGUUUCCCUUCCCACCGGAGCGGUACCUAUUUAUCUACUUGCACUUUGACGUGCUUUUGAACUGCUAGGUUGGUAGGAGCAGGGACCGAGCAACGGGAGCUCACCCUGUCGCGGGAUGUGAACCGCCGACCUUCUGAUCAGCAAGUCCUAGGCUCUGUGGUUUAACCCACAGCGCCACCCGCGUCCCCCACAUGUAUAUACUUUGUAACUAAGUCUGCCUUCAGGGAUCACACUGUAAACUGAUGAUGUGAGUAAACUUUUAUAUACUUUAAACAAGAUUGUGGCAUGUUUAAUCAUUUAAGAGGGAUAUAAGGGAACUUACCAGGAACCUAAUUGUGAGAGGCUUAUCCAAGCCUGCAACCAGCUAUCUCCUGUGCGUUUAAAAGGGGAAUGUAAAACUCUGCUAAGUAAAGGAACUAGCGCAAGUUAGGAAGGAUAUUAAUAAACAAUAUAUCCUUUCCUGCCUCCCUGAACAUUCCCACAGAAUCGCCAGGGAGCCCCCACAGCUUCUUCAAGUUUGGGGAUUUAUUUUUAAAUCCUGCCUCCUGGCCUUUGGAUGAACAACCAAGAGGGGGCAGGAUGGAAGCGUUAUGGUGAUGCCAUUAAAGUAAGGUUACCAGAUUUUUUCCAAUGAAUCCAUGGACACUUUCCAACUUCAAUAGAUUUUGUACGUGGACUGAUUUGUAAAGCCAGGGACUGUCCCCAGGAAACGGGGACGUCUGGUAACCUUACAUUACAGGCCAAACUGCAUGCAACAGGCAGUUCCAUGGUUCUUCUUCCUGGCAAUGUGGGAUUGGAUUGGUUUUUUGAACAAAAAGCAGCUGCAGAACACUGGAAUCGGGAGCAAAGGGAUGAGAAGGGGCCAUAGCUGUCAACUUACAGAUUUGAAAAUAAGGGACCAGCAGCCUUGAAAAUAAGGGAUCAGCAGCCAAAAUAAGGGAUUUUGCUUAGCUUAUACAUAAAUCUGGCACUGAUGGAGCCAUGCGGCUUUGGCUGCGACUGACUGUGUUUUGCAGGGGGUUGGACUAGAUGAUCCUAAGGGUCUACAACUCCCACCAAAGAAAAGUGGCAGACAAAACUGAUGAAUGACGUCCAGAUGGCAAAGCUUACAGGCAGAAUUAGAAACCAGGAAGAGGAC